UUAAGUUCAGCGGGUGGUCCUACUCGAUUUGAGGUCAAGUUGUCAGUCGUUGUCCGAGGACGGUUGGAAGCACAGAGCUCCCGAUCGGCCACCCUCUACUGAGGCGCCGGCGAAGACACUUAUCACGCCGUACUAUGUCCAACCAAGAGGUGCACGAACCCAUUUGAGGUGAGCCACGGCAAGCAGCAACACCCAAGUCC
rnacentral:misc_RNA from 1 species